rnacentral:rRNA from 1 species
GAUGAACGCUAGCGGCAGGCUUAACACAUGCAAGUCGAGGGGUAGAAGGAGCUUGCUCCUUUGAGACCGGCGCACGGGUGCGUAACGCGUAUGCAAUCUACCUUUUGCAGAGGAUAGCCCAGAGAAAUUUGGAUUAAUACCUCAUAGUAUGUGAGGAUGGCAUCAUUUUCACAUUAAAGUCACAACGGCAAAAGAUGAGCAUGCGUCCCAUUAGCUAGUUGGUAAGGUAACGGCUUACCAAGGCUACGAUGGGUAGGGUCCUGAGAGGGAGAUCCCCCCACACUGGUACUGAGACACGGACCAGACUCCUACGGGAGGCAGCAGUGAGGAAUAUUGGACAAUGGGCGCAAGCCUGAUCCAGCCAUGCCGCGUGCAGGAUGACGGUCCUAUGGAUUGUAAACUGCUUUUAGUACAGGAAGAAACACUGGUUCG